rnacentral:rRNA from 1 species
UACGGAGGGUGCAAGCGUUAUCCGGAUUUACUGGGCUUAAAGGGUGCGUAGGUGGGUCUGUAAGUCAGUGGUGAAAUCUCCGGGCUUAACCCGGACACUGCCAUUGAUACUAUAGGUCUUGAAUUAUCUGGAGGUAAGCGGAAUAUGUCAUGUAGCGGUGAAAGGCUUAGAUAUGACAUAGAACACCAAUUGCGAAGGCAGCUUACGACGGAUACAUUGACACUGAGGCACGAAAGCGUGGGGAGCAAACAGG